CAGUCGCCGCGGGAAUACGUAGGUGGCAAGCGUUGUCCGGAAUUAUUGGGCGUAAAGGGCUCGCAGGCGGUUUCUUAAGUCUGAUGUGAAAGCCCCCGGCUCAACCGGGGAGGGUCAUUGGAAACUGGGAAACUUGAGUGCAGAAGAGGAGAGUGGGAUUCCACGUGUAGCGGUGAAAUGCGUAGAGAUGUGGAGGAACACCAGUGGCGAAGGCGACUCUCUGGUCUGUAACUGACGCUGAGGAGCGAAAGCGUGGGGAGCGAACAGGAUUAGAUACCCCUGUAGUCCCUGUCUCUUAUAC
rnacentral:rRNA from 1 species